AUGAGGUCAUCAUCAUUUGUGAGGAGGCAGUUCACAAAAAACGAAGUGGGUAGUUGGUCAAUACUUAUCAUGAGGCACCGCUUUCUGUUAUCUGUUUUAGCUCUACUAACUAUCCUAUGUACAGUUUAUCUUUACUUUGCUAUUGCUUUUGGGUUCAAAGAUUCAUGUUCUGGGCUGAGUGGUCCUGAGAAAGAUUCUUGUCAUAUGAAGCUUGUUAAGAGUGAGAUGAGAAGUACUCCCACCAGACAUUUCUAA